GACGAACGCUGGCGGCGUGCUUAACACAUGCAAGUCGAACGGAAAGGCCCUGCUUUUGUGGGGUGCUCGAGUGGCGAACGGGUGAGUAACACGUGAGUAACCUGCCCUUGACUUUGGGAUAACUUCAGGAAACUGGGGCUAAUACCGGAUAGGAGCUCCUGCUGCAUGGUGGUGGUUGGAAAGUUUCGGCGGUUGGGGAUGGACUCGCGGCUUAUCAGCUUGUUGGUGGGGUAGUGGCUUACCAAGGCUUUGACGGGUAGCCGGCCUGAGAGGGUGACCGGCGACAUUGGGACUGAGAUACGGCCCAGACUGCUACGGGAGGCAGCAGUGGGGAAUAUUGCACAAGGGGCGGAAGCCUGAUGCAGCAACGCCGCGUGCGGGAUGACGGCCUUCGGGUUGUAAACCGAUUUCGCAUGUGAUGAAGCGUGAGUGACGGUAAUGGGUAAAGAAGCAACGGCUAACUACGUG
rnacentral:rRNA from 1 species